GCCUUUCGGGGUGGAUUAGUGGCGAACGGGUGAGUAACACGUGGGCAAUCUGCCCUUCACUCUGGGACAAGCCCUGGAAACGGGGUCUAAUACCGGAUAACACUCUGUCCCGCAUGGGACGGGGUUAAAAGCUCCGGCGGUGAAGGAUGAGCCCGCGGCCUAUCAGCUUGUUGGUGGGGUAAUGGCCUACCAAGGCGACGACGGGUAGCCGGCCUGAGAGGGCGACCGGCCACACUGGGACUGAGACACGGCCCAGACUCCUACGGGAGGCAGCAGUGGGGAAUAUUGCACAAUGGGCGAAAGCCUGAUGCAGCGACGCCGCGUGAGGGAUGACGGCCUUCGGGUUGUAAACCUCUUUCAGCAGGGAAGAAGCGAAAGUGACGGUACCUGCAGAAGAAGCGCCGGCUAACUACGUGCCAGCAGCCGCGGUAAUACGUAGGGCGCAAGCGUUGUCCGGAAUUAUUGGGCGUAAAGAGCUCGUAGGCGGCUUGUCACGUCGGAUGUGAAAGCCCGGGGCUUAACCCCGGGUCUGCAUUCGAUACGGGCUAGCUAGAGUGUG
rnacentral:rRNA from 1 species